CAGCCGCCGCGGUAACACGAAGGGUGCAAGCGUUAAUCGGAAUUACUGGGCGUAAAGCGUGCGUAGGCGGUGAGUUAAGUCUGCUGUGAAAUCCCCGGGCUCAACCUGGGAAUGGCAGUGGAUACUGGCUCGCUAGAGUGUGUCAGAGGAUGGUGGAAUUCCCGGUGUAGCGGUGAAAUGCGUAGAGAUCGGGAGGAACAUCAGUGGCGAAGGCGGCCAUCUGGGACAACACUGACGCUGAGGCACGAAAGCGUGGGGAGCAAACAGGAUUAGAUACCCGAGUAGUCCCUGUCUCUUAUAC
rnacentral:rRNA from 1 species